rnacentral:rRNA from 1 species
GCGUGCUUACACAUGCAAGUCGAACGAGAAAGGGUUGCUUGCAAUCCUGAGUAGAGUGGCGCACGGGUGAGUAACACGUAGAUUAUCUGCCUUCAAGUCCGGGAUAAGGAAGCGAAAGGUUGGCUAAUACCGGAUGAAGUGUUUUUGCGCAGGUAAAAACAUGAAAGAUAGCCUCUUCUUGAAAGCUAUUGCUUGGGGAUGAGUCUGCGGACCAUUAGCUUGUUGGUGGGGUAACGGCCUACCAAGGCUGCGAUGGUUAGCUGGUCUGAGAGGAUGAUCAGCCACACUGGAACUGGAACACGGUCCAGACUCCUACGGGAGGCAGCAGUGAGGAAUUUUGCGCAAUGGGGGCAACCCUGACGCAGCAACGCCGCGUGAGUGAAGAAGGCCUUUGGGUCGUAAAGCUCUGUCAACUGGGAAGAAAUUGUCUGAUAUUAAUAGUGUCAGUCAUUGACGGUACCAGUGGAGGAAGCGCCGGCUAACUCCGUGCCAGCAGCCGCGGUAACACGGGGGGCGCAAGCGUUAUUCGGAAUUAUUGGGCGUAAAGGGCGCGCAGGCGGUCUUGUCAGUCAGGUGUGAAAGCCCGGGGCUCAACCCUGGAAGUGCAUUUGAAACAGCAAGACUUGAAUACUGGAGAGGAAAGCGGAAUUCCUGGUGUAGAGGUGAAAUUCGUAGAUAUCAGGAGGAACACCUAUGGCGAAGGCAGCUUUCUGGACAGAUAUUGACGCUGAGGCGCGAAGGCGUGGGUCGCGAACAGGAUUAGAU